GGUACUCAGGAAUUCCAGUGAGCACCAAACCUGGCGUGGCACUUUCUCUAAUAAUUUAAGUUAAUUUGUUUUGCUGUACAAAGCAACAUAAACUAUUUCUGAAGGUCUUGCAGUAGGUUAUUUUUCUUGUGCGUAUCAAAAUUCGGUACUU
rnacentral:lncRNA from 1 species